UUACAAAGCGCCUAUUAUAUAUAUAUACAUAUUAAAAAAAAAAUGGAGAAAUGCAAAUUUUCAAAGAUAUUAGACGAGUAGCGAAACAGGAGAAUACGAGCACUUAAGGUCCUGCAAACUAUCCUCUGGGGCAACCAAUAUCUGGGCUACAUUAUCUCGUUGUCUAACCCGACGAGAAGCGAUGGCGUUUCUAUGGAAAUUCCAUUCCGAAAAAGUCCAUCGGUUAUUUGAUCCGAUUUUUCACACAGCACCAUUUGGGAGACAAAAAUAAUCAGCAGAGUGGUGCCGCUAAUUAAAUAUGGUCAAUCUUCGUAUCUCAGUAUCCUUCACACACCAUAUGAGCCCAGCAGCAUAUCAGCAUGGAUUGCGAAAAGUGGCACAGCACCACAACCGCACUUUAUGCUAUAAACACCCAAAAUAGUCCAAAGCUUUAACAAAAACCUGCUUGGUAGCGCUGGAUUUAUCAAAAGCCUUUGACACUUUUACCAAUGCAAAGCUAAUAUCCGACAUUGAGAGUUUGAAAUGCUCAACUGUGAGCUACCUGAGUGGUUGACAGUCAUCGGUAAAGUUUCGAGGUCAGAUUUCAAGACUUCGUAAGAUUAAAGACCAUCAGAGGGCGUGUCAAAACACCAACCUUAGGAGCAUGGUUUCCACAUAUCUAUGGAUCUAUUAUCAAGCACACCGCAACGUGCAAUUAAUUGGGGCUGGAACUCCACUAGACAUGAAAGACUCCAUACAGUUUUUAAGAACCAAACAGCUGGACAGAAAGUAGUACCGACAGGGUUUAAACGCCAUUCAUCGAGAGUCCGUCAAUACCUUCUUGAAAUCUCUUGCAGUGAGCGACAUUCUCAGAACCCAUACACCACCUUUUGUAGACCAAGACUUCAAGCUGCAACGAGAGAUACGUAUAAUACUGACAUAAUUAUGAUCUGGAUUUUGUGGUCGACCUAAUUCCAACUUAUUCAGACUUGACCUCCGACACUACUCUCACCACCUAGUCAUCUAGCGCCCUUUCCCUUUGGUAUGGACACGAUGAACAAGCAUUUCCUGGACCUUCAGCUAGAUCACCUCGAUGACUAAGACUAGUCUCUCCUAUUCGUAAGCGGAGUUGGAGACCGGCUGCAACAACAAAAACAGUAGCUAUGCAAUAUUUUUAAAUUUUUUUGCAAAAAGUUUCUUUAGU